rnacentral:rRNA from 1 species
AUUGAACGCUGGCGGCAGGCCUAACACAUGCAAGUCGAACGCGUGGCGGACGGGUGAGUAAUGUCUGGGAAACUGCCUGAUGGAGGGGGAUAAAUACUGGAAACGGUAGCUAAUACCGCAUACCAUCGGAUGUGCCCAGAGGGGAUUAGCUAGUAGGUGGGGUAACGGCUCACCUAGGCGACGAUCCCUAGCUGGUCUGAGAGGAUGACCAGCCACACUGUGGCUGGGACACGGUCCAGACUCCUACGGGAGGCAGCAGUGGGGAAUAUUGCACAAUGGGCGCAAGCCUGAUGCAGCCAUGGCGCGGGGAGGAAGAAGGCCUUCGGGUUGUAAAGUACUUUCAGCGGGGAGGCGUUACCCGCAGAAGAAGCACCGGCUAACUCCGGGCCAGGCGGCGCGGUAAUUC